CACCCAUGUGACCAAACAUCAUCCGGUUACUAUCCAUGGGUAAUGCUGUCUCAAAGACGUGACUGUUUUCUGCAUGCAGCUCUGAUGAUACAGUUGGCUCGUUCAUUUCAUUUGGAAUACAAACCAUCUGGGAAUGUCUCGGACCAGAAACCAGCUUGAGAAGUCAGGCUGUUCCCAGCUCUGCAGGUAAAAGCCACGUGCCUGGGUGUGUUCCUUGGCUGUGCCCUCAGCGUAAAUUAGAUAGUGUGUCAGUUUGGAGUGCAUAUGGAGGCAAGUCACAGAAAGCUCUGUUUUAGAGGCUGAUGACAAUAAAGAAGUCAUUUUUCCUGUGUUGGAAAAAGUUCAUGAUGAGGAAAUAUAGACUCAAAGUACUUGUGGAAUUUGCCCAAGGUCAUACUAUAGCACAGAGGAGUGGAUGUUUCUUGACAACCCAGUUUGGUCAUAUGGCAAAAUCAACGAAGAAUCAGCACCCAUGUCCAAGUGAGCUUUCUGCUCAUUUUGAUACAAUUAAUUAUGAUUGGAAGCCAGGCAUGGUGGUGCACACCUGUAGGCCUGGGCAAGAUGGCAAGACCCCAUCUCUACAAAAAUAAAAAACAUCAGCUGGGUGCAGCAGUGCAUGUCUGUGUUCCCUGCUACUGGGGAGGCUGAGGUGGGAGGAUCCGUUGAGCCCAGGAGCUUGAGGUG